GUUGCCUACCAGCAUUCUCCCUUCCUCUUUGUUCAUUAAUACCCUGAUUCUAUUCAGGCCGCAAUUAACCAGCCCCAGGUGAAUCUGGUUUGUCUAAUCCAAUGGGGCAAUACCAUUCACUUAGCCGUUGAGUGGUCUAAGUGUGAACACAUGGCUUACUUCUAACCAAUAAGAAAUAAUGGGGAAUUUCCUGGGGAGAAUUUAAGAAAAAUACUUUUGGCCUCCAUAAAAGAGAGAGCUUCCUGAAGGGGGGAUGCUUUUCUGCCACUCUCUCCUCCUGCUUUUGUUGCCAAGACCUGAAGAACAUUCCUUGCCCCCCGGGCUCCUUUAGGGAGCCCAUCCACUCACACCUCCACUCUCAGUGGGACAUGGUGCUUGGAGAUGGCAGCCGGCACCUCAAAGCUGCAAAGAGAAGGGUAUCGGUCCAGAUAGAGGUGACACAAAGAGGAUAGAGUCUCUGCUGCUGAGGAGCUCAUCGUCUAGAGAGAAGACAGUAAAACCUCUGCCCCCCAAACCUGUAAUGGACUGUGACAAGAGGCAGUUGUGAGGAGGUGAAGACAGUGGAGGAAUAAACACACAGCCAAAUGACAAAGUCAGAGCGUGAAGCCUCCUUGCCCCUGCCCCACCUGUCUUUUCUCUCACGCUCUCUCUUUCCUCUCUGCCGGAGCUGUUCAGGAUAGCCGUGCUUCUCUCAUUCUUAGAAUUCUGCUUUUAUUACUUAGAAAUCUACUAACUUUGUGCUUGUUGGUCUUAACUUACUUUAGAUUACAAAUAUGCCAUUACAUAUUCUACAACAUUUUGGAAAUUCUGUUCUAUGCCAAAAUGAGCAUUGCACUUAAUUUCAAUGCAAAUGUUUCCUUUACUCUGGUCCUUUAUUGUAGUUUGGUAGAAUGAAAAUUCUUAUUCCUUGUUGAUUAUGCACAAUGCUCAAGUUUUUAUGAAAAUAGUUGUCUAAAUUUGUGUUUAAGUUUUAAAUUGAAGUUUGGACAUUUGAAAGAUAUAAUGUUUUGCAGAAUUGUUGCUGCUCUAUUCACAUCUGUUUAUCAUCUCUUUUAUAUCAUUAACUUGAGGAUGUUUUCAGUUGGUGUGAGACUUAAAAAUACUAAAGGCUAUUUAGAAUGAAAACUGUUGAGUCUAAGAAGUUAAAACUCCCCUCAGAUUCUGAAUGUCUGUUCCUAAACUGGUUAAGUGAGUAUAUUUGAAAGGAAAUUGUGUAUAUUUAGGAUAUUUAAUGUAGGUGACACAUAUGGUCUAAUGAAUUUGGCAAUAAAGAAAAGUAGAAAAAUACCAUUUUGUCAGAGAUUAGUGAGAAAAAAAUGCAAAUGAAGUCCUUUAGAUUUGCUAACCUUUUUCUUUUUGGCCAAGAUGACCACACAUUACAAAUAAGAAUGAUUUCUGACCCCAUAUUAAAAGGAGUCAGGUGUGCAGAACUGAUGUGAUGGAAGAAGAUCAAUCACCUUUUGGAAUGGUAAAGGAGCUACCAUUUUAUGCGAGUGCAUACUCAUAGCAGAGUAUGCAUAAUGAUCUAAGGCUCUCAAUUUUUAUUUGAAAGUGAGCAAAGCAGUGUGGAGUCAUAGUAAAUUAAAGCCUCUCUCUUUUUUUUAAUUGUAUCUCCCAUGAUUUUACAUUCCUCUGCCACUUAUGAUGCCUGUCUUGGUUCUGGCUUUUUAAGACUUGGAGCUGGUCUGAGCAUGCAGCCCUUUAUUGCAGCAGACAUUCCAC
rnacentral:lncRNA from 1 species